ACGGAGGGGGCAAGCGUUAUCCGGAAUCAUUGGGCGUAAAGAGUGCGUAGGCGGGGGUUUAAGCGUGAGGUGAAAGGCAAUAGCUUAACUAUUGUAAGCCUUGCGAACUGGAGUACUUGAAUGCAGUUGAGGUAAGUGGAAUUCCGAGUAUAGCGGUGAAAUGUUUAGAUAUUAGAUGGAACACCAGUGGCGAAGGCGACUAUCUGGGCUUUAAUUGACGCUGAGGCACUAAAGCGUGGGUAGCAAACAG
rnacentral:rRNA from 1 species